rnacentral:rRNA from 1 species
GAUGAACGCUAGCGGCAGGCCUAAUACAUGCAAGUCGAACGCGGGGUAGCAAUACCUCGAGUGGCGCACGGGUGCGUAACGCGUAACCAACCUGCCCUUGACUGGGGGAUAGCCCGCCGAAAGGCGGAUUAAUACCGCAUAAACCAGCAGCCUGGCAUCAGGCAACUGGUAAAGAUUUAUUGGUCAAGGAUGGGGUUGCGUGACAUUAGCUAGUUGGCGGGGUAACGGCCCACCAAGGCGACGAUGUCUAGGGGACCUGAGAGGGUGAUCCCCCACCCUGGCACUGAGAUACGGGCCAGACUCCUACGGGAGGCAGCAGUAGGGAAUAUUGGGCAAUGGGCGAGAGCCUGACCCAGCCAUGCCGCGUGCCGGAUGAAGGCCUUCUGGGUUGUAAACGGCUUUUCUCAGGGAAGAAAACGACCAUGCGUGGUACACUGACGGUACCUGAGGAAUAAGCACCGGCUAACUCCGUGCCAGCCGCCGCAGUAAUAC